rnacentral:tRNA from 1 species
GGUUCCGUAGUUCAGCUGGUUAGAAUGCCUGCCUGUCACGCAGGAGGUCGCGGGUUCGAGUCCCGUCGGGACCGCCA